rnacentral:lncRNA from 1 species
CAAGACGAAGAUUAGGCUUCUUAGUGUAGCUUCCAAGGUAUUUCAUAAUCUGAUUACAUCCUGUGCUGCCAGCUCCAUCUCUAAUCAACACCUGCCACCUGUUCCUAGACUGCCUUGCCUUCUCCCAAACCUGCCUUGCUCUUCACACCUCCAUGCCUUUGCCCAGGGAAUCCCCUCUGCCUCAACUGUCCUCUCAGCUCUACUCCCCUUCCCUGAUUUUGCCAAAGGUAAAACCUCAUUCACUCUUUUAGACCCAGUGAAAAUGUUAUACCCUCUCUAUCCCCAGGAACCACGUAGAAUGAACCACUUCUUCCUGUGUCUUCCACGGUGUUUUGUGCUCAUCUCUGUUAACCCACUUAGCACUUACCGUCAACAUGUUUAAUUGCAGGUGUUUACUUAGCACUUUACUGUCACAUGUUUGGUUUCAGACUGUGCCUGGCACUAUGCCUGGUACAGGCUAACUCUCAAAUCUUCCCUAAACUUAGUUCAAUUGAAUCCUACCACACUGUAGUCCUUUAGUGCUUAUCAUUCAUUCAUUCAUUUUUGGACACUCACUAUGUGUCAGGCAUUAAACAGGCCAUGUGCUCUCUCAUGGGGCAGAAGUUCUAUUGGGGGAGAUGGAUAAUAAAGCCAAUUCUGAGGUGAGAAAUGGACUUUGUAGUCUUCCUGACCAUUAGCUGCCUCAUCUCUGCUUGAACUCUCUCUGUGAUGAGAAACUCACUUUCUGAAGAAAUCGAAUCCACUGCUGACAGACUCAGACUGUCCUUUGAUUGAGCUGCAAAAUCUCCCCCUGUACCGUCUACAAAUGGCUCCCAGGUCAGCUCCCUGCAGCCACUUAGAACAAGCCUGCUUGAUCUUCUUCAUGAUGAUGCUUCAUGGAUUUGAAGAUGGAACUCUUAGCACUCACUUCCUUCAAUUUGUUUGGUUUUGUGCAGAAGAGUCAUUUGGUGAAAUGAAGCAAGGCAAGAAAUUCUCCCAAUGGGGCCCUUGCAGCCAAGAAUCAAGUCACAAAGUAACACACAACAGAAGAGAUGAAAUAGAAAAAUUAGUCCACAGCAAAACAAGAGAACUGCUCAAGGAACUUGGAGCUGGCAAUCUCGCAAUGUGAAAGGUUAAUCACAAGAUUUAAAAUCUAAUCUUGCUUUCAAAGGCAGCUCAUGUAAUUGCAUACAUUGUGAAAGAACAUGAGAACAAGGAACAUGAGAACAGUGGGAACAGAAAAAAAAAUUAAACAAGCGGGCUUGAUAUAAGCUGUAAAUUUAACAUGAAGAAAUGUAAAAAGUUAGUGAGAGUAAGCACAGACCUCAGUAAAGGGUCAGGCAGGGACCUGGGACAGCAGAAAUCGC